UACAGGGGGUGCAAGCGUUGUUCGGAAUUACUGGGCGUAAAGCGUGACGCAGGCGGUUAUGCAAGACCGAUGUGAAAUCCCCGGGCUUAACCUCGGGAAUUGCAUUAGGUGACUGCAUGGCUAGAGUGUGGUCAGAGGGGGGUAGGAAUUCCACGUGUGGAGCAGUGAAAUGCGUAGAGAUGUGGAGGAAUACCGAUGGCGAAGGCAGGCCCCCGAUGGGACUAACGACGUGAAGCGCCC
rnacentral:rRNA from 1 species